UCAUGGAUAGAUACAAACAUCAACAGAGUGUAACACAACAGGAAAAACACAGAAACUUACAUCUUAAGUGACGCAUACACUAACAAUCAUUCAGCUGGUCUGUGCCUCUGCACCGAUAUACACAUCCAUAGUGAAGGCUCGUGGAUCUGGAAGGACUUGCCAGGCUGUGAUGCAGGGGCCACAGUGAAUGACACAGUGGCGCUAUGGAUGGUGCAAAUUUCUUGCUGGACAGUGCGGAGUGCUAGGUCCUCAGAUCUUCAUUGAAACCCCAAGUGAUCAGCUGCCUCAUGUAAGACUAUAGCACGCUCGAAAUCAUCGUCCAGUAUAGCAUUGGUCUCAAUCAGUUAGUUACAGGAGAGCUAGAGAUGACUUCUGUAAGGCGAAGCACAUCUCGUCACAGUUGGUCAUGUUUCUCUCUCAUCUCUCUAUAAAAGCAAGAAAUCUCUGUCUGUCUGUCUGUGUGUGCCUCAAAUAUCUCUGCAGAUCGAGAUCAGACAGACCUGAUAUUUUCAACAUCGCUGUUGCGUGGUUUAAGGGUGUGCAACAUCAGAUUUGUUUGGACUACAAUGGUACCAUUAAUAAAUGAUUUAAUAAAUGAUUUACCAAUUCCGCUAUCAUUGUCAACAAUAGCAACCGUAUCUACGUGCACACCAGAUCCAAUUACUGCAGAGCCCACCCCCAUGCCCCACUUCCUGAUUCGAUGGAUGUGCCGGUGCGUGAAAAUCAUGUGACCAAUUUAAGAGGACGAAGCAGCAAGACACAGCCUCUGUGAGUCUCUGUAUAUGUGCAGCCUUCAAACUAUAUACCAGUUUUAAAAUCGUGUUGAUAGGCCAAGUAAAACUGGAUUUAUGAUAAAUAAUGUCCGCCACGUUUUUUUUUGCAGGUAAGAUUUAGAUAUUCCCGAUUCAGAUGCUCGCUGAAGUAGCUAAAGGGGGCUACACACAUAACGAUAAUCUCAAAAUUUAAAUUUUUACUCCAUGGAAGAUUAUCUUCUGUUUUAUAAGAUUAUCCUAUACGAUUAUCCUGUGGUCUGUUGUGCGUUAAGAGUCAAUUUCUCCCGAUAAUUUGCUCGGAAAAGGGUUGCAGCCGACAAUUGUAAAUGUUAAACUUCCUGUGUGUGGGGAAAAGCCGACGACUCCUGAGCCACUACUCCGUGAAAUGUGACGUGAAACGCAACGUAGCCAACCAACUGACUGAGGAACACGGAAGCGGGCGUAAAUAAAAACAGGCGAAAUCCAACUUUUCCUAUGGGGGUGUUUGAAUUAGCCAUUUCAAUGUUUUUAAUGGGUUUAUCGUUGGUGCUAACGUUAACCAUUAUGCGCUACCACCAUACUGGUGGUUAAUGGAAGUAUUGUGUGUUGUCAGAAAAGCUCACAUUCCCUCCUCUAUGUCUUCCAUGUCUUUCAUGUUUUAAAACGUUUAUUUACUCCUUUUUUAUAUACAGUGUAUGCUGUUUUCCAUUUAUGAAGAUAAUCUUUGUGUGUGUGGUGUCCUGUGCUGAGAAUAUCGGAGCACACCACACAGUACAAUCAAAGUUUAUUUUUUAAUCUUCGUGUGGGGGCUCUACAGAUAAAAAAUCUCUUAAGAUUUAUAAAAUCCUUAUGUGUGUACCCACCUUUACAUACAGAAGAGGACAGCUGUCACAUCGAUCCACGUCUCACUGAAGUAGCUACAGACUGAUCGACAUGGAGGAAGACCAUAUCCUAUGAGUACAGCGACUACCAGAGCUACCCUCAACAGGCUCCUUGAGACUGGAGACAUCACACCUCAGGAGGUGCAGCUAGGCCUCAAAACCUGCCCCCAAACCUACAAUAAAAAACACUAACCCUUGUCUCUCUCAUACACACACACAUGCUGGUCUGUGCUGGUUAGUACUGGUUUGGUGCUGGUUUAGCUGGUGGACCAGCAUGAUGAAGCUGGUCCACCAGCAAGGUCCCAUUAAUUAUGCUGGCUUACCAGCAUAGUCUUGCUGGUGACAUUACUGAUGAAGCUGGUCACCAGCAUCCAAUGCUGGUGCUGGUAUAUUGGUCACCAGCAUCCCAUGCACUAGCAUGGGAAGUUCCUUGCCCAUGCUGGCAGGGAACACCUGUGCCUGAAUCCUGUUCAGUCAGCAUCUUCAUUUGCCACACCUGUCGCGUGGAUGGCUUAUCUUAUUGGAUUUUAACAAAUGUGUGCUCCACAUCUAAAGAAGUAAUUAUUUUGUGUACAUACAAAAGAAAAACUUUAUAAAAUUGUUUACUUAAACUUGUGAAAGAAAUGGGAGCAACAAACAAAGUGUUGCAUUUAUAUUUUUGUAUAUUUUGUGCAGUAUUUACUGUUUCAGGUCCCCUCAAAUGACCCCAAAAUCUUGCAAGUUUGGAGCUAGUGUUCAAUAAACUUGGUCUACUGUGACAACA